rnacentral:tRNA from 1 species
GGCGCGAUGGCGGAUCGGCUACGCAGCGGAUUGCAAAUCCGUUUAGCCGGGUUCGACUCCCGGUCGCGCCUCCA